ACGGUGGUGUUGCUCCCCGCCGUGCUCACGCUCCUCUCCUUCCUCCUCCUACCCUUGGCCUCCCUGGCGCUGACGCAGGACUUCUGCGUGGCCGACCUGACCUGCAGCGACACGCCGGCGGGGUACCCGUGCAAGUCCAGCGUCACCGCCAACGACUUCUACUACCACGGCCUGGCCGGGCAGGGCAAGAUCAACCCGCUGAUCAAGGCGGCCGUGACGCCGGCGUUCGUCGGCCAGUUCCCGGGCGUCAACGGGCUCGGCAUCUCCGCGGCGAGGCUCGACAUCGAGGUGGGCGGCGUGGUGCCGCUGCACACCCACCCGGCGGGCUCCGAGCUCCUCUUCGUGACCCAGGGCACCGUCGCCGCCGGCUUCAUCAGCUCCGGCUCCAACACCGUCUACACCAAGACGCUGUACGCCGGCGACGUCAUGGUGUUCCCGCAGGGACUGCUCCACUACCAGUACAACGCCGGCACCGGCCCCGCCGUCGGCCUCGUCGCCUUCAGCAGCUCCAACCCCGGCCUCCAGAUCACCGACUUUGCCCUCUUUGCCAACAACCUCCCGUCCGCCGUCGUGGAGAAGGUCACCUUCUUGGAC
rnacentral:lncRNA from 1 species